UACAGAGGUCUCAAGCGUUGUUCGGAUUCAUUGGGCGUAAAGGGUGCGUAGGCGGCGCGGUAAGUCGGGUGUGAAAUUCGAUGGCUUAACUCCGAAACUGCAUUCGAUACUGCCGUGCUUGAGGACUGGAGAGGAGACUGGAAUUUACGGUGUAGCGGUGAAAUGCGUAGAUAUCGUAAGGAAGACCAGUGGCGAAGGCGGGUCUCUGGACAGUUCCUGACAGCUG
rnacentral:rRNA from 1 species